ensembl:lncRNA
UGAGAGUUGAAAUUUUAAUAUGAGUGUUCGAGAAAGGUCUAACUUAACAGGUAAUGUUUGUACAAGAACUUGAAGAAUGAGGAUGAAUGGGAUAUAUUUGAAAAAAGGAUUCCAUAAGGAGGGACAACAGCAAGUAAAAUAGCCACAAAUAUGAGCAUGCCAAGCUUUCUUAAUUCAGACUGAGGAGGCCAGAUGACAAGAGCAGAAUAAACAAAAGGAAUAGUGUAGAAAAUAAAGUUGGAGAAAUAAGUGAGGAAGACUGGAUAAUGCUGGCCAUAACCCAAAACAUCCCUGAGAUUUGGUAUGGUUGGAUACGGCAACAAGAGCAAGAGGUAGAAUACCACUCAGAGUUUCAUGCAAGCAAGAAUCUGGAAAGAAGCUGCACAGGACCCACUCACCCGUAUCAAUAAUACCGAGGUGUUGAAGAGAUGUAGGAAAUGGCUGUGGAUCAUGAAAUAGAAAUUGCUUUAAAUGAGAAUCAACAGAAAAAAUCAUGGCAGUCCUAUUGAAACAAACUCCAUGUCCAGAAAUUUAAAUAGAUAAAGAACAGAAAAUCUGAAAAAGAGCAAGGAGCAACUGAGCCAUCAUCAUACAGAGGCACUGCACUGUGAUGAUAUACAGUAUAAAAAAAGACACUACACACUGGAGAAGAUUUCAUAUCCAUGUGCAUAGAGAGGACUCAAAACUGGAAACUAACAAGCAUUUCCAUCUAAGAUUACGAUUAAAUGGGAAAUGAUUAGUACUAUUGUUGCAAUGAAAAUGAGAGAGAAAUGCCUGGGAUGGAUGGCAUUUAAAGUAGGAUUUCUGAUCAAAAGAGUGAUUAACCCUUGCAGAACAAGUGAAAGAAAAAGAGAAUUUACCUCUUUGGAGUGGAGAUUUUCAUCCUCUUUAUUCAAGAUCAUCAGAGCCUAAAAGAGAACCCAGCAUGUUAUUGGCCACACUUGGAGAUGAAGAAUGGGCUGGAACAUGUACCCUUUGGCAGAGAUCUUGCCUUCCAGGAAAGGACUACAAUAAGGAGUUGUAAGUCUCCUGGGAACACUCUCCCUGAAGAGCAGGUCUGCAGUUGCCCAUUUGCCCUACAACUUACUGGCUGGAUACAUUCAAUUCAGAAGGAAAGUGCAGUAAGAAUGCCAUUGGGUACCUCAAACUCAAGUUCAUUUUGCCAUUUAGCUUUACCAAUAACACUUGAUGUUUUUCUAGAUUUCUAAUUGACAGAUAGAUGAUAGAUACAUAGAUACCUAAAUUGAAAAUUGGCUCAAAAUUAGCAGAAGAAAAGG